rnacentral:pre_miRNA from 1 species
UGAACAGAUUAUUGUAUUCGACUGUAUUCACGGCGUGAAAUAGGGGAUUACACUAUUUUUAAAACGGAAAGUGAACCAAUUAACAUAAUAGACUCCU